GCUCAGAACGAACGCUGGCGGCGUGCCUAACACAUGCAAGUCGUGGGAGAAACUCUCCUUCGGGAGAGGAGUAAACCGGCGCACGGGUGAGUAACACGUGGGUAACCUGCCCUGAAGUCUGGGAUAACCCACCGAAAGGUGGGCUAAUACCGGAUAGUUCCCUGCCUCACAAGAGGCAGGGGGAAAGGGGGCCUCUGCUUGCAAGCUCUCGCUUCAGGAUGGGCCCGCGGCCUAUCAGGUAGUUGGUGGGGUAAAAGCCUACCAAGCCUACGACGGGUAGCUGGUCUGAGAGGAUGGUCAGCCACACUGGCACUGAGACACGGGCCAGACUCCUACGGGAGGCAGCAGUGGGGAAUAUUGGGCAAUGGGCGAAAGCCUGACCCAGCGACGCCGCGUGGAGGAUGAAGGCCUUCGGGUCGUAAACUCCUGUCAGAGGGGAAGAAGGCAUAGAGGGCUAAUACCCCUUUAUGCUUGACGGUACCCUCAGAGGAAGCACCGGCUAACUACGUGCCAGCAGCCGCGGUAAUACGUAGGGUGCGAGCGUUGUUCGGAAUCACUGGGCGUAAAGCGUGCGUAGGCGGCCCUGUAAGUCCAAUGUGAAAGCCUUGGGCUCAACCCAAGAAUUGCAUUGGAUACUGCAGGGCUCAGAGUGCGGGAGAGGCAAGCGGAAUUCCCGGUGGAGGGGUGAAAUCCGUAGAUAUCGGGAGGAACACCGGUGGCGAAGGCGGCUUGCUGGAACGCAACUGACGCUGAGGCACGAAAGCGUGGGGAGCAAACAGGAUUAGAUACCCUGGUAGUCCACGCCCUAAACGAUGGACGCUGGGUGUCGGGAGGUAACCUUCCCGGUGCCGUAAGCUAACGCGUUAAGCGUCCCGCCUGGGGAGUACGGCCGCAAGGCUAAAACUCAAAGGAAUUGACGGGGGCCCGCACAAGCGGUGGAGCAUGUGGUUUAAUUCGAUGAUACGCGAAGAACCUUACCUGGGCUUGACAUGCUGGUGGUAGUGAACCGAAAGGGGAACGACCCCCGCACCUAUCUGCUUGGAGUUUGUUUUUCAUUUCCCUUUUGUAUAAGGGAUUAAGAGUUUAUCCUGGCAGAUAGGUGCGGGGGAGCCAGCACAGGUGCUGCAUGGCUGUCGUCAGCUCGUGUCGUGAGAUGUUGGGUUAAGUCCCGCAACGAGCGCAACCCUCGCCCUUAGUUGCUAACGGGUAAUGCCGAGCACUCUAAGGGGACCGCCAGGGACAACCUGGAGGAAGGUGGGGAUGACGUCAAGUCAUCACGGCCCUUAUGCCCAGGGCUACACACGUGCUACAAUGGGGUGUACAAAGGGUUGCAAUCCCGCGAGGGUGAGCUAAUCCCAAAAAGCACCCCCCAGUUCGGAUUGCAGUCUGCAACUCGACUGCAUGAAGCCGGAAUCGCUAGUAAUCGCAGGUCAGCUACACUGCGGUGAAUACGUUCCCGGGCCUUGUACACACCGCCCGUCACACCAUGGGAGUCGAUUCCACCGGAAGACGGUGAGCUAACCGAGCCCUCACUUAAGUUUAUGGACUUUAGAUUUUAUCUUAAGUAUUACUCUUGCAAGAAAUACCUCUUGGCAAUUAAAGAGUCUGUAGACUGAAGUGAGGGCUCGGAGGCAGCCGUCCAUGGUGGGGUCGGCGACUGGGGUGAAGUC
rnacentral:rRNA from 1 species